UACAGCUGAUGCUUACAUUUUUCAUUGUUUUCAUUGUUGUGAUCAGAAUGUUUUGUUUUACACUCAAAGAGCCAAGGUGAUAUUCAGUGCAGCAACAGGAGGAGGAGAUAAAGCCAUUGGACCCUUCAACAAAGAAACAACUUUAAUCUACAGAACAGUGAUAACGAACAUUGGUAAUGCCUACAAUUCAUCUACAGGUGUCUUCGCUGCACCUGUUGCAGGUGUUUAUUACUUUUCUAUCUUCUUUCAUGCCGGAGGAGAAUACGAGGCAAAAAUAUUUUUGUACAAGAACAACGAACUCAAGGUAGGAACCCAUGAUCACCGGUCAGAUGAUGACACAGCUGAUAAUGGAGGAAAUGCCGUGUUUCUGGAGCUGGUGCCAGGAGACCAGGUGUUUGUGGCCUUGCAUGAAAACUCACAUGUUUGGGGAUCCAACAUCCACACAACCUUCAGCGGUUUUCUGGUCACUCAGAUAUGAGAGUUAUCACACUGUAUAUCUGAUGAAAGNG